UAAUAAUGAUAAUAAUAAUGAUAAUGAUAAUGAUAAUAAUAAUAAUAAUAUUAAUGAUAAUAAUAAUAAUGACAAUAAUAACAAUAAUAAUGAGUAAGGAUAUUAGCAAGGAAGUUGUAGAAAACCCCCAGAGGCAACAUACUGAUCAACUGCCUGUUACUGUGCUGUCUGAAGAGGUCUCCAACACACCAUGUCUGUUACUGUGCUGUCUGAAGAGGUCUCCAACACACCAUGUCUGUUACUGUGCUGUCUGAAGAGGUCUCCAACACACCAUGUCUGUUACUGUGCAGUCUGAAGAGGUCUCCAACACACCAUGUCUGUUACUGUGCUGUCUGAAGAGGUCACCAACACACCAUGUCUGUUACUGUGCAGUCUGAAGAGGUCUCCAACACACCAUGUCUGUUACUGUGCUGUCUGAAGAGGUCACCAACACACCAUGUCUGUUACUGUGCAGUCUGAAGAGGUCUCCAACACACCAUGUCUGUUACUGUGCAGUCUGAAGAGGUCUCCAACACACCAUGUCUGUUACUGUGCUGUCUGAAGAGGUCACCUACACACCAUGUCUGUUACUGUGCUGUCUGAAGAGGUCACCAACACACCAUGUCUGUUACUGUGCAGUCUGAAGAGGUCUCCAACACACCAUGUCUGUUACUGUGCAGUCUGAAGAGGUCACCUACACACCAUGUCUGUUACUGUGCAGUCUGAAGAGGUCACCAACACACCAUGUCUAUCACUGUGCAGUCUGAAGAGGUCACCAACACACCAUGUCUGUUACUGUGCAGUCUGAAGAGGUCACCUACACACCAUGUCUGUUACUGUGCUGUAUAAACGCUUGCCUUUCUCCAUCCGUCUUGUGCCUGUGAUGCCCCAUUGUGACAACACACACACACACACACACACACACACACACACACACACACACACGUCAGAAGGACUGGAGAGCAGAGCAUGCUGGGAGCUAAGGCGAUGGUCGCCCAAUUGCAGCCCUAUGCGGAAGCAUAGCUGUCAUUAGGGCCCAACGUCGCCAAAUAAAAAUGGGCACAUACACACCACACACACACACACACACACACACACACACACACAAAAAAUCCUAUCCAUCUGCCAUAGCAGCAGGGUAGGGUAAGGGCCAGCGAAGCACUUUCCUGCCAUUCCCUGUCAUGCUUCCGCCCGCCCGGCUAGUGCUUACUAACACUACACACACACACACACACACACACACACACACACACACACACACACACACACACACACACACACACACACACACACACACACACACACACACACACACACACACACACACACACACACACACACACACACACACACACACACACACACAGGAGCUGUGUAUAAACAGCUCGGCCUGCCACACUGGUACCAUCACAGAAAGCAGAAAAGCACCCUGACCAUAUUCCCUUUCUUUUUCUCUUUCCUUCUUUUUAUCCGGUGAGAAAGCAAGCUGGCCCGGCCGUUGCCAUCUGACAACCUGUCAACCUUGUCCUUCAGAUGAUGCCCGGGUGAAUACCGGACCUGACACAUAAAUGUUUCUGCACCUUGAAAGCAAAGCGUACUGCACUUUGCCACUGUCCUCUCGCCUGUUCUUGUGUAACAAGAG